AGCAGCCGCGGUAAUUCCAGCUCCAAUAGCGUAUAUUAAAGUUGUUGCAGUUAAAAAGCUCGUAGUUGAAUUUCAGGAUCAAUAUGUUGGUCGUGCCUCGGUACGUACUAGCAUAUUGGUUUCUCCUUUCUGAAGAACCAUGAUGUCAUUUAUUUGGUGUCGUGGGGGAAAUCAGGACUGUUACUUUGAAAAAAUUAGAGUGUUUAAAGCAGGCUCACGCUUGAAUACAUUAGCAUGGAAUAAUGAAAUAGGACGUUUGAUUCUAUUUUGUUGGUUUCUAGGAUCGACGUAAUGAUUAAUAGGGAUAGUUGGGGGCAUUAGUAUUCAAUUGUCAGAGGUGAAAUUCUUGGAUUUAUUGAAGACUAACUACUGCGAAAGCAUUUGCCAAGGAUGUUUUCAUUAAUCAAGAGCGAAAGCUAGGGGAUCGAAGACGAUCAGAUACCGUCGUAGUCUUAACCAUAAACUAUGCCGACUAGGGAUCGGAUGAUGUUAAUUUUUUCAAUGACUCAUUCGGCGCCUU
rnacentral:rRNA from 1 species